UUGAGUGAAACAGCGCCCCCUGGAUUCCAACGUUUGGUAGCCUGUAAAUGUCAGUCUGUGUGGUGAAGUUGGCAUCCUUGAUAAGUAACUUCAUGUGAAAUUGUGAACGGUCUGGUCAGGACUCUGUGUGUGAAAACUGUGAAGGAAAGCCAGCGCACUGUGUUUUAUGAAACCAUAAAAUGUUGGAAAAAGAAACAACCAGGAGAAUCAGCAAGAUUUCUAGCGUUGCUAAUGACGACAGACUCCGAGCCCUUGUUAGCUACGUUAGCUAGUUGUUAAAUAGUUAGCUAGCAGCGAUGGAUGGAGGGAGGAUUCCUGGACUUUUGGUGAAAAACAACUACACAGAAUGGUUGAAUGAGAAUAUAAACUGAGCGGACUUGUGCCCAAGGGGACGAAGACAUGUGGGCAAGAGAGAGUUGGACACUUGAGCAAACUAUUGUCCUCUGUGGUGGAAGACCUCCGGUCCAAUGGGGAAUUGUGACAUGUUAAUAAAACACUUCGCCUCCAAGACAAAUGAUGGUCUUCUUCAAAUGAAGGAGAAUAUUUGUGAUCUCGAUUGGCAGCGGAUGAUGCUUAAUUGCCUCAGACUUGUUGAAGUUUCCUUCAUGACAAUUUUGGAAUGUGCGUCAUUGAAGACCAGCAGGCCGGAGACACCGAGAGGAGACAGAAGGAUUUUAUUGUACACGAUGCGAACUGACAGUGUGGAAAUGAUACUGAUACUGUCCUUUGGUUAACGGAACUGGAGAUCUGGCACUGUAGAAAACACACACGGGAGAUUGGAGAAGCACGGGACCGGGAUCUGGAGCUCAGGGACCAGGAGGACGUCUUGAUGAAGCGAGAACCACAUUUUGAGUCAUACACACAACGGGAUAAAUCAAUAACACGCAUCAUAGACUUUGCAAUCUUCAACGCUGAUGAUUCAUCGUGCAUCAGGGGACCUGAGACUGCAGCUUAACGACCAGCUUCACAUCGCUAUCCUGACAUCUGAACGUCUUAAAGAACUGUGGUGACCAACACAGACUGUUGCACUCAUUGUUUACACUACAUAUUUGUGAGACCAGCCUCCAUCUGUAUCCUUGAAAUCCAAUCUGUUAAAAUAAUUCAGUUUGGUUGUUUAUUAUUUUGCGUAGGCUUACGCUCUUUUAUGUAUA